GGAAAAAGUUCACCAAGACCCCCGAGUUAGGUGAUACAUUUCCCAUCCAAGACUCAGUUCGCCAACAUCAAUCCAGAGGGAAUACGGACAUUACCUUUGAGUCUGCCGAUAAAGGCAUAAACACUGGAGAUGAAACUAUUUCUGUGAAAUUACUCAUUAACUUUUGAAGGAAAGAUCAACUUACUGGAAUUUUUCGUAAUUGCCAAAUGCGCUCUGGGCUCCCUUCUACACAGUUCUCAUCUCUAUGUUGAGAAUGGAAAAAAGAAAAGGCAUCAAGGCAUCAAGGGAGUCAAGUUUCAGAAGAAUUUGAUGAAGUACAGUCUGGAAAGAUCUGGAAGGAGGCAUUAAAACCAAAAGAGGAGACAAUGGUCAUCAAAGCCAGAAUCCUGCCGAGUCAUUGGUCAUGCAGGGAGUCAGCGCUGAGCACCUGGUUCUCAUGACAGACACACUGCGGUGCCGUGGGAGGGGCGACAGAGGGGCGCCGACCAG